ACGGGGCCCGCACAUGCGGAGGACAUGUGGUUUAAUUUCGAUGAUACGCGAGGAACCUUACCUGGGCUUAAAUGGGGAGUGACAGCUGUCGAAAGAUGGUUUUCUUCGGACACUCUUCAAGGUGCUGCAUGGUUGUCGUCAGCUCGUGCCGUGAGGUGUCGGGUUAAGUCCCAUAACGAGCGCAACCCUUACCGUUAGUUACCAUCAGGUUAAGCUGGGGACUCUAGCGGGACUGCACCGUAAGGUGAGAGGAAGGUGGGGAUGACGUCAAAUCAGCACGGCCCUUAUGUCCAGGGCUACACACGUGUUACAAUGGCCAGUACAAAGGGCAGCUACCGGGUGACCGGAUGCUAAUCUCUAAAGCUGGUCUCAGUUCGGAUCGAAGUCUGCAACCCGACUUCGUGAAGCUGGAUUCGCUAGUAAUCGCGCAUCAGCCAUGGCGCGGUGAAUACGUUCCCGGGCCUU
rnacentral:rRNA from 1 species